rnacentral:lncRNA from 1 species
AAGUGAUGCCUGGGGAGGUCGAUCUACGCGUGGGAAAUGGAGCAAGAGUUGCUGCUGAACGCGUGGGGACUUAUAGAUUAGAUCUUCCUUCGGGAAAUAGACUUGUUUUAAGUAAUUGUUACUUCGUUCCUUCUAUUUCUAAGAAUAUUAUUUCCAUUCCGAUGUUGGACAUUGAAGGCUUUUCCUUCCAUUUUGGAAACAGU